UUGGAGAAACUUACCAGAGAUGAGAAACAACCAAUUGUCUGCAUUCUCUGUUAUGUGGUUGAAGAAAGAAUAGUGUUUUGAGAGUAGCUACUUUGAACUAGCUACUUGCUAUUAUUUUAUGAGAAUAGGGCUUAUGGCCUACACCAUCAUCAUGAGUGCCCCAUCAGAUGUCCCUGAUGGAGAUUGUUGACUCUUGAGACACAACACAGCUGUAGACAGCAUGCCUUUGAACCAGAAAAUAUUUGAGGACCUCUAGCCACUCUGGGGAAUGUGGUCUACUUCACAGUGUACAUGACUCAAGUGAGCAACUCAUCUGGAAACACCAUUAUGGAAGCAGCAAGCAGCAGCACUUAUCUGAGCAUCUUGAUUCCACAAGGUUUCAUCAAGCCGACACAGAAAAUUCACCAUGACAGAAGGCUGCCUGGAGGAAUGCAUCAGGGAGAGCGGCUUAGAGGUUAUCCUACUGCUGUAAUAGGACAUCAUGACCAACACGGAGAGUGUCUUAGAGGUUAUCCUAUUGCUGUAAUAGGACAUCAUGACCAAAAUGGAGAGUGUUUUAGAGGCUAUCCUAUUGCUGUAAUAGGACAUCAUGACCAAAAUGGAGAGUGUCUUAGAGGCUAUCCUAUUGCUGUAACAGGACACCACGACCUAGGCAGCUUACAGAAGAAU
ensembl:lincRNA Gm42592 predicted gene 42592